rnacentral:misc_RNA from 1 species
GCCCAUCGUUAAUUAUUGAAUUGCUUAAUUUCUUAAAAAGCUCAUAUAAGGCCUUUACUUCACUAACCGUAAAAGGUGUUUCAGCAGCAAGAACAGUGGGUUCUUCAUAUCCCCGUGUUUGUUUAGAUCUCUUUAAGCAAAAGCAGCCUUUGAAAGCAAGUAACAUGAUUCAAUUGCAAAACUUUCUGAAAAUCAAUAGAGUCAUGCCCGUGGUAGUACUUGAAAAUUCAACCUUUCUUGAAACUGUGAGUAUUCAGAGGAAAAUUGAUGGAGUAAUUUGAUGCGAGCUAAGCACUUGUGUUUACAGGAAGAAAGAAG